UAUGGCUACAGCACGUUGAAGCAAUGGUUCCCGUAUGAUCAUAGAAGUUAAGCAACGUCGAAUCUGGUCAGUACCUAGAUGGGUGACCGCUUGAGAAUACCAAGUGCUAUA